GUGUGGUGGAAUGAUGCCAGGAUGGGGCUGUGAGGCCCGCAGAAAAAGUGGCAAAUAAAAGUGCCAUCUGUACUCACUGCAUGCUCUCCAUGAGCUUUGCAUCAUGGUGGGAAUUGAGGAGGUGCAAACAUGCUUAGAGCAGCAAGAGAACAAUUCAAGAGGGUUGACCAAGACAAUAUUUUCUGAUGGAAAAGGGCUGGUUUCUUGGCUACUCGGUGAACUAUAAAGGCUCUUCGUGGCUGGUUCUUUGCUUAGGAACACCUCGUUACUAUUAAUCCUGUUCCUGAGACUUCCUAGUGUAUGUUUAUAUAUGUCUUUUGUACUAGGCCAUCUGGGAACAAAACAGGACAAGUCUGGGCCCCUGAAGGAUCUACAGCUUUCAAGUGUCUCAUCUCAGCCAGGUUCUGUGCUGCUCUCUUAAGCAACAUCUCAGAUUGCGAUGAGACUUUUAACUACUGGGAACCGACACACUACCUCAUUUAUGGGAAGGGAUUCCAGACAUGGGAAUACUCUCCAGCCUAUGCCAUCCGCUCCUAUGGUUACUUGUGGCUUCAUGCCUUACCAGCCUUGUUCCACGCUAGAGUUCUACAAACUAAUAAGGUUCUUAUCUUCUAUUUCCUGCGAUGCUUCCUGGCCUUCCUGAGCUGUGUUUGUGAACUCUACUUCUAUAAGGCUGUGUGCAAGAAAUUUGGACUACAUGUGAGUCGGCUGAUGUUGGCGUUUUUAGUCCUCAGCACUGGGAUGUUCUGCUCGUCUGCAGCUUUCCUCCCAAGUAGUUUCUGCAUGUACACCACCAUGAUUGCUAUGACUGGCUGGUAUAUGGAUAAGACCUCUGUAGCUGUGUUGGGGGUGGCCGCAGGAGCCCUUGUGGCCUGGCCCUUCAGUGCGGCCCUUGGACUUCCUAUUGCCUUUGACUUGCUAAUCAUGAAGCAGAGGUGGAAAAGCUUCCUAAACUGGUGUGUGGUAUCGUUGAUCAUGUUUCUGGUGCCCUUGGUAAUUGUGGACAGCUAUUAUUAUGGGAAGUUGGUAGUUGCACCUCUCAACAUUGUCUUAUACAAUGUCUUCACCUCUCACGGACCUGAUCUCUAUGGUACUGAACCAUGGUCCUUCUAUUUCAUCAACGGCUUUUUGAAUUUCAAUGUGGCAUUUAUUUUGGCUCUACUUGUCCUGCCAUUGACUUGUCUCAUGGAGUGGCUGCUCCAGAAAUUUCAUGUUCAGAAUCUGGGCCGUCCUUACUGGCUGACACUAGCUCCCAUGUACAUUUGGAUCGUGGUUUUCUUCAGUCAGCCCCACAAAGAGGAGAGAUUUCUCUUUCCCAUCUAUCCUCUCAUCUGCCUUUGUGGUGCUGUGGCGCUCUCUGCUCUUCAGAAGUGUUACCACUUCAUAUUCCAGCGUUACCGCUUGGAACACUACACGGUCUCCUCCAACUGGUUGGCUCUGGGGACUGUCUUUCUCUUUGGCCUCUUGUCAUUGUCUCGCUCUGUUGCCUUAUUCAGAGGCUACCACGGACCUCUGGACUUAUACCCAGAAUUCCACAGAAUCGCCACUGACCCAACUAUUCACACUGUGCCAGAGGGGAGACCAGUUAAUGUCUGCGUGGGAAAGGAGUGGUACAGAUUUCCAAGCAGCUUUCUCUUGCCGGAUAAUUGGCAGCUCCAGUUCAUCCUGUCAGAAUUCAGGGGCCAGUUACCGAAGCAAUUUGCCAAGGGACCAAUGGCAACGCGGGUCAUUCCCACCGACAUGAACGACCAAAACAGGGAAGAGCCAUCUCGCUAUAUUGACAUUUCCAAAUGCCAUUAUCUGGUGGACUUGGAUACAGCAGCUGAGGCCCCAAGGGAGCCAAGGUAUUCCUCCAACAAGGAAGAGUGGAUCACCGUUGCCUACAAGCCAUUCCUAGAUGCUUCCAGGUCCUCAAAACUGCUGCGUGCGUUCUACAUCCCUCUCCUGUCAGAACAGCACACGUGCUAUGCAAACUACACUAUUCUCAAAUCCCGGAGGUUGAAGCCAAUCAGGAAAAAAAUGGGAGGCUAGCAACACACCUGCUGAACAAAAUGAAAAGCAUCCACUGACACUGCUGGACAGCUGCCUAAGGCUUCUUCCGUUCUCUUUGAAAGAUUGCGCUUGUAAGAUUCACUAAUAAAGAUGUCCCAUGAAGUGAUUUCACUCUGCAAGUUUCCAGCUGUAAAAAGCUUUCAGUUCUUGAUGUCAGGUCUCUGCUCUGCCUACACAGAACAUACUGGUAAGAAACAGUGUGAAAAUCCAGCAGCCACCUACGACCAUAUUAUCCCUGCUGCUCCCCGUGUUAUUAUCUGUUACACUAGAGAAGAGGAAAAGGAAAAAAUAACAAGGAACGACAGUGUGAGGUUCUGCUCCAGGCUGCAGUUUGGCUCCGGAAAAAUCUGGCUCCAGCUCUCUCUCUAUAGCCAUCAAAUAUCCACCUAGGAACGUCCUGAAGAAGCUUACUUCGUAUUAGCCUCAGAACGAUUUUCCAGAUGCAACUUGAAGACCAGAGAGACGGAUAGUCUCCUCCAGCUUUGAAAUAAUUUUGAGUUCUCUUCAGUCCCUUGAGCCCAGAUUGUGACUCCAGGAACAGCCACUGCUCACAGCAUUCCUGGAUUUUGACUCCCUUGUCUCUUCUUGGAAGAGUUGUCGUCACAGUGCAUAGAGUGAUUUGUAAGGAUGAGUGUAUGAUUAAGUUGGCUUCCGAUCUCUUGCUACUUCUGAAAUUUAUUUCUGCUGUUGAUUCUACCAGUCAGGUCAGUAGGUGCUAAUGAGUGACGUGCUUUAGAUGUUUGAAAUGAGCAAAUAGGGUUAUCGGCCUGCCUGUGGAUGUCGUGACUUGGUGAUAGAACUCUCAUUAAGGUCCAGUUUCAGCCUUCGGUGAGCCAUAACUACUAAGACGAUGUGUUGCUCUUCCUGUUAUUUAUGCUUUCUUGCCUGCGGAGCCUGCUACCGUAGGUGGAAGCCACCCUGCAUACAGGGCUGGCUCAGUUUCCAUCCCAGCUUCUCUCAGCACGCUGCACAUUGCAACAACCCUGUUCUCCCAAUAACGUUUCUCUAGUAACGCUGACGAUAUCUCCACCGUGGUCUGCAGUAGCGUAGAGGACAUGCCUGCCACCUGCCAAAAAAACCCAAUGUGUGGAACCUCAGAAGUGACAAAUGGCCGAUGACGCGCUGUGCUUCACGGAGGCCAGGUGUUUGGAUUCCUCUUUGCAUUUCACUGAGGAGGAGGAGGCUUUUUAAUGGACUUGUGCUCUACUCGGGACACAUUUUGCACAGUGCAAAACACAUAGUGAACCGUUCACCUCUGUCGUCUGGGUGAUUAGGUCCUUGGGAAUGCAGUCCUUUUACCUUGGACUCCACUGUGGAAGUUUAAAGCUGAGAUUUCUUCUGAAUUCAGACUUUGUAAGGACCAUCUGUGGUAUGUAAACCUUGGUGCUCUGCAGACAGAUGCGUUGUGCUGUGUGCAAAUAUCAGCCCUCGUGACAGCCAAACAUGGCACUAAAAGCAUUUUGUCCAAGCAACUUCCACGAGUUCUCCUGGAAGGUCAGAGGCACGGUGCAGAUGAGCAUUGCAGCAUCUCUGCUCAUGGUAUUGCCCUCCUGUUCUGAAAGUUUGUACGUGUAGAA